rnacentral:lncRNA from 1 species
CCUGCCUCCGCCUGCUGAGUAGCUGGGAUUACAGGUGCAUACAUCCUCUCCAUCUCAUGAGGCAGCAGGCUCUGAACUGAGGAUCAACAGAUCUUCUCCUGGAGAUUAUAUGAUGGAUCUUGGUGGAUUCAAAUCAGGCCAGUGAUCUUUCCAGGAAAGAAUCUAUUUCUUCAUUUUUCCCAGCACCUAGAGGCUGCCCACAUUCCUCAACCCAUCACUCCAUUUUCAAAGCCAACCGCAGUGGGUCCAGCCAACCAUGCCUCCAUCUCUUUGGUUCUCUCUCUUCAAUCCUUUUUUACUCUUAACGACUCUUCUGAUUCUACUGAGCCUGUUCAGAUAAUCCAGGAUGAGCUGCCUUUCUCAAGGUCAUGUAACAAACAACCUGAACUGCAUCUGCAACCUUAUUUCUCCUUUACCAAGGUACAUAGCACAUUGCAGGUUUCAUGGAUGAGGACAGAGACUCACCACACCUGAAAAUUCUGCCGCCAUAUCAGAAUCA